CCUGGACAUGGCGGCACACACCUGUAGUCCCAGUUACUGGGGAGGCUGGUGGGAGGGAAGGUGGGGGAGGUCACUAGAGCCCAGGAGUUCUGGGCUGUAGUAUACUACGCCUUUCUAUCAGGUGUCCACACUAAGUUUGGCAUCAAUAUGGUGACCUCCUGGGAGUGGGGUCCACGAAGUUGCCUAAGCAGGGGUGAACUGGCCCAGGUCAGAAACAGAGCAGGUCAAACUUCCCAUGAUCUCAUGGUGCCGCUCUUCUCCAGCCAAGGCAACACAGUGAGAUCCCCAACUCU
rnacentral:SRP_RNA from 1 species